rnacentral:rRNA from 1 species
AGCAGUCGCCGCGGGAAUACAGAGGGUGCGAGCGUUAAUCGGAUUUACUGGGCGUAAAGCGUGCGUAGGCGGCUAAUUGAGUCGGAUGUGAAAUCCCCGAGCUUAACUUGGGAAUUGCAUUCGAUACUGGUUAGCUAGAGUGUGGGAGAGGAUGGUAGAAUUCCAGGUGUAGCGGUGAAAUGCGUAGAGAUCUGGAGGAAUACCGAUGGCGAAGGCAGCCAUCUGGCCUAACACUGACGCUGAGGUACGAAAGCAUGGGGAGCAAACAGGAUUAGAUACCCGUGUAGUCCCUGUCUCUUAUAC